AGAGUUUGAUCAUGGCUCAGAACGUACGCUGGCGGCACGCCUAACACAUGCAAGUCGAACGAAGUAGCAAUACUUAGUGGCAGACGGGUGAGUAACAUGUAGGUAUCUGCCCUUUGGCCUGGAAUAACACGAGGAAACUUGUGCUAAUACCGGAUAAGUCUUUACGGAGAAAGCUUUAUGCACCAUUGGAUGAGCCUGCACUUGAUUAGUUUGUUGGUGGGGUAAUGGCCUACCAAGACUGUGAUCAAUAGCUGAUUUGAGAGGAUGAUCAGCCACAUUGGGACUGAGACACGGCCCAAACUCCUACGGGAGGCAGCAGUGGGGAAUCUUGCACAAUGGAGGAAACUCUGAUGCAGCGAUGCCGCGUGAGUGAAGAAGGCCUUUGGGUUGUAAAGCUCUUUCGUCGGGGAAGAAAAUGACUGUACCCGAAUAAGAAGGUCCGGCUAACUUCGUGCCAGCAGCCGCGGUAAUACGAAGGGACCUAGCGUAGUUCGGAAUUACUGGGCUUAAAGAGUUCGUAGGUGGUUGAAAAAGUUGGUGGUGAAAUCCCAGAGCUUAACUCUGGAACUGCCAUCAAAACUUUUCAGCUAGAGUAUGAUAGAGGAAAGCAGAAUUUCUAGUGUAGAGGUGAAAUUCGUAGAUAUUAGAAAGAAUACCAAUUGCGAAGGCAGCUUUCUGGAUCAUUACUGACACUGAGGAACGAAAGCAUGGGUAGCGAAGAGGAUUAGAUACCCUCGUAGUCCAUGCCGUAAACGAUGUGUGUUAGACGUUGGAAAUUUAUUUUUCAGUG
rnacentral:rRNA from 1 species